rnacentral:rRNA from 1 species
GACGGAGGAUGCAAGCGUUAUCCGGAAUGAUUGGGCGUAAAGCGUCUGCAGGUGGCAGUUCAAGUCUGCUGUCAAAGACCGGGGCUUAACUUCGGAAAGGCAGUGGAUACUGAACAGCUAGAGUAUGGUAGGGGCAGAGGGAAUUCCUGGUGUAGCGGUGAAAUCCGUAGAGAUCAGGAAGAACAUCGGUGGCGAAGGCGCUCUGCUGGACCAUAACUGACACUCAGGGACGAAAGCUAGGGGAGCGAAUGGG